rnacentral:misc_RNA from 1 species
AUUAUAUUCAGUAAUGCAGAGUAUCAAAAUAAGCAUGACAAAGAAGCGAAAUAAAAAUAUAAUACAAUAUUAUACAACAAAUUCAAAAACGUGUUACACUGUUCAAAAACAAAAUCAUAUCUACAUUGGCAGGCUUCAAAGAUCCCCUUCUGGCCGAGAUGAGCUCACCCGCUUUCGAAAAGAGCCUCUCUUGAGACGAUGUCGUAACGAGGAUCCAGCUUGUUCACCAGUCGCCGAAACGCUGUAUUUUCUACCACUGAAAGAGUUAUGUUGUGCUGGUCUCAUGAUCACGGAGAGUGCCUACAUCGGUCAGUUGGUGCAAGGACACUGGGACGAGACUCCAAGUUCUCUUGUGUAUGCCAGCAGCAUGAAACUAGCAUCUUUUGGUCUAUUGCUUCCGGUGAUAUUUUUGGAGUGGAGGAAAUGCAGGAGACAGUCCCCCGGACUUCUGCUCUUUUUCCUGUUGCUCUUGUUGACGCAUAUUGUGCCUCUAUAUUCAAACAUUAUUCUGGAGGUAUAUGAAGAAGAGACAUCCCUCUUUGUCACAUUUGCUGUCAAUUAUGUCGCUAUUCUGACCGGAACUGUUCUGCAUUGUUUCAACUCCAGGAUAAAAGCCUGGGAGGUGCAAUCUCCUGAAGAAGGGGCAUCCAUUCUGUCCAAAGUGACCAUGUGGUGGACAACCAGUUUGAUCAUAUCUGGAUAUAAGAAGCCCUUAACGGAGAAUGAUGUCUACCCCCUGAGCACCAAGAUAAGAUGUGGCACUGUAUUCCCACAUUUUUUGCACCAUUUGGACAAAGAAAUACAAAAAUGCUGGCAAAAGCAAUCUGCUUUGGAGAGAGCACCAGGGAACAAAGGUUUAGUGGACUACAAGAAGGCAAGGGGGGCUGACCUUGCUCAGAAGAAAACUAAGGCUGUGUCAAAUGGGGAAGUGCUGGAUGAUGAGUGUGGAAAAGGAGACAGUAGUGCCGAGAAAGAUAGAGAUGUGAGUGAAAAGUUGCUUGAUGACGAUGAGAUUACAGUGGAGAUCAGGACUGGAUCGACUAAGUCAGGGUCUGCAGAGACAGGAGCAGGCUCUGCAUUCUUGUGGAAAGUGAUCUUCCGCACCUUCUACCGUUCUGUCAUCUUCUGCAGCGUAAUGGCUCUGAUAGCGACGUUCUUCAGUGUGAUGGGUCCACUGCUGGUCAAAUAUUUGAUAUUGUUUAUCUCUGACAAGGAGGCGCAGUCCUGGCAUGGUUAUUUGCUGGCUGUCGCACUGUUUUCCACCUUUGGCAUUGCACACAUUCUCUCUGAGUUUUUCUACUACCAGUGCAACAAAUUUGCUGUGACAGUGAAUACAUCUAUUCUUUCUGCAGUAUAUCAAAAGUCUCUUCGUCUGAGCAGUGAGGCCCGCCAGUCAACAUCUGCAGGGGCAGUAAUCCAACUGAUAUCGUCUGACAGUAACAGUAUUUGGGGUCUCUGCAAUGAGAUGUUCAUGCUGCUUCAGUGUAUUCUUCAGUUUUCAGUGGGUGUCGCCCUUGUUUACCAGGCAAUGGGUGUGGCAGUUUUUGCUGGUCUGAGUGUGUUGGCAGUACUGUUUGUGAUCAAGUCAAUCACCUUGAGGAAACACGCUCAGCUUGACCAGAUCAUGAAGAAGCAGGCGGACAAAAGGCUCAAGGUCAUCACCGAAGUUUUGAGUGGCAUCAAGGUACUGAAACUCUAUUCAUGGAACGCAGCGUUUAAGCGACUCAUCAGUGAAAUAAGAGAAGUGGAACUUACUGCUUUGUUCAAAUUUGAUAUGCUGGGUUUGGUCAUCACGUACAGUUGGACCGGAGCCAUUUUCUGGAUGGUUUUCUUCAUUUUCGUAACGCACGUGCUAGUGGAAGAUGACCAUCGCUUGGAUGCAGCGACAGUGUUCGUUACAAUGGCCUACUGUACAUUCAUUAGACAAGCUGUCAACAAAUCGGCCUAUGUGUUUGGCUUCAUUGUCACUGGUAUAGUGUCUGCCAAGCGUAUUGGGAAGUUUCUACUCCUGAAAGAGGUGACAAAUACUGAGGUCCAAGGGGAUCCUGCUAAUGCAACUCUACCUCCAGGUGUCGCUCUACAAAUCACCAACGGUCAGUUCAGCUGGGACAGGAGCAAAGCCCCCACUCUCAAUAACAUAAACCUGAAAGUAUUGGAGGGCAGUUUGACUGCGGUGGUGGGCAUGAUUGGCUCUGGAAAAUCAUCGCUGAUCUCUGCCAUGCUCCAGGAGAUGUCCAUUCUGUUUGGGACUGUGGAGAGCAAGGGCACUACGGCAUAUGUCCCCCAGGAAGCCUGGAUUCAGAAUGAUACGGUGAAAAAUAACAUCCUGUUUGGUAGUGAAUUCGAUGAGGAGUUGUACUCGAAGGUCAUCGGGGCCUGUGCUCUGGAACCUGACCUAGCUGUGUUGCCUGCUGGGGACCACACAGAAAUUGGCGAGAGGGGUGUCAACUUAAGCGGUGGUCAGAAGCAGCGGAUCAGCCUGGCCCGAGCGACGUACCAACAGUGUGACUUGUACCUCAUGGACGACCCUCUCAGCGCAGUAGACAGCCACGUGGGACGGCACAUCUUCCAGAAUCUUGUCGGACCCGGUGGCUUGCUGAAGGACAAGACAAGAGUCAUGGUGACCCACGGCCUCCACUGGCUGACAGAGGUGGACCAAGUCGUGGUGAUGACUGCUGGUCAAGUCACAGAGCAGGGCUCCCUGGAACAGCUGAUGCAACACCAUGGCCCUUUUGCCCAGUUUCUAUCACAGUAUGUGCAACAGCAGCAGCAGCAACAACCAGAACAACAACAGCAGCAGCUAGAGUCUGGAAGUGGCGACAACGUCCAAGCUUCCGCGGACGAGGUGUGUGGGAGAGAGAGUUCUGUGUCUGUGCAAGAUGCUGAGGAAGAAGCUGCUGAGCUGGAUGGGGAUUCGUCUGAGGAAAUACGUCAGAAACUUUUUCAGCGUUUGAUUUCCGUUCAGUCAUCAUCCUCUGAGGUGGAUGAGGCAGUGGGUCUUGAUGCUGCUACUGGGACAAACAGGAAUGCCAGUGAGGUUACAGCUUUCGGGCAUACAGAGAAAGAUCUUGUCAAACAUGAAACUGAGGAUGAGAGCAGUCGCUUAAUUGCGGAAGAAGAACUGGCUCAUGGAAGAGUGGAGUGGUCAGUGUACGCUGCCCUGUACCGUACUAUGGGCGUUGUUCCAAUGACUAUCAUGGUCCUGCUGUACAUCAGUUACUUCGUCUUUGACCUGGCCGAUGGCUUCUGGCUCACCUUCUGGGUAGAUGACCCGGUCUUGAGCAACGUGUCGCUGCCGGGGGACAGCGAGCUGCGACGUGAAGGGAACAACUACUACAUCACUACUUAUGCCAUGUGGGGCAUUCUGGAGACGGUGGUGAUAGUCGUUUACUCUGUGAUCAAGGCGUUCCGACACAAGAUCUUCUCACAAUCUGUCCACGCAGACAUGCUGGACAGCGUCCUGUACAGUCCCAUCCAGUUCUUUGAAACGACGCCCAUGGGCAGAAUUUUAGCUAGAUUCUCCAAGGAUAUAAAUGUGAUGGACAUGACGCUGUUCCUCUUCAUCGAGAUCUGGCUGCACAGUUGCAUCGGCAUCCUCUGCAUUCUCAUCACCAUCGUCAUCAAUCUUCCAAUCUUCCUCGCUGCUGCAGUGCCCAUCAUUUGUCUCUUUUAUGUCUUGGAGAGGUUUUACCUGCCCACGUCGUGCCAGCUGCGCCGACUCCAGAGUAAGUGGCUCUCCCCUGUGUUUAACCACGUCAGCGAAUCACUGGCCGGAGUGAGUGUGAUCCGGGCACUGGGCCAGGAAGGGAGAUUUAUUCAUUUAGCGGAAGACAAAAUCGACUUCAGCCAACGUUUCAAACUGGCAGCUUAUGCCUGUGGUUGUCGGUGUGGCUGGGACUGUUGUCCGACGUCCUUAUCCUGUGUACCGGUGUCCUGGCCGUGACCUACCGCGAUGAGCUGACCCCUGGUCUCACUGGACUCUGUCUCAGUAUGGCUCUCAUUAUCACUGAUCAGAUGCAGCUU